CUAGUUGUACAUGCAUACAUAUGCACAGGCACAGAGAUUACAUCUACGACAUGAUCUAGCCUAAUAAAAAAGAAAUGGGGCAUAACCCUCAACCUUUGCACAGUGAUCAGACUAUACAAAUGAGCCAAGGCAGACAGUAUCUAUCUACAGCCAUGUCUAUCAGGCAUGCUUAGCAGUAGAACAUGCCUGGCUCUCCUCCACCGGUCAUACAUGGAGAAUGGUACAAUGCCUCCCAUCAAAAAGAGAGCUGGCCCGAGCAAGCACAGGUUUCACCUGAAGCAUGAAGACUUGCAGCGAGUUGUGAACUUUAUCAACAACUACGCAGAGGAUAAUACAAUAGUACUACCAGGACACCACCCAGGACACAAACACUUGGUGGAAAGCUGCUGCCAUUCCAUGUGACAAAAGCAGCGGUGUGGGGCAUCUCUACAAGGAAUCAAUGACAACACUUGCUUCGAUGCUGUGGAGCCUGGGGUUGUUGUCGCAAAGGACGUUCGGACUGAGUUGGGACCAGGUUUCAGGUGCUUUGCCAUGCUAACAUCCUUCCUUCCAUAGAAGGCGACGACAGAGAGGAUCGCCUCGGCUUUUAGUCCUUCAUUGUUUUAUGUAUUAUUUCUUACAUUGUUAGCCCAGAAAAUCUUAAGUGUUAUUACAUACAGCCGGGAAGAACUAUUAGAUAUCAGAGUGACGUCAACUUAUUAGUACUACGACCAGGAAUACGAUUUUCCCGUAGCGGAUGUUUGUUUGAACCACACAAGGCAUUAGAACUGUUUCCGGAGGCUGACCCAAAACAACAGGAGAGAGAGACGGAGCAGCCUUCUG
rnacentral:lncRNA from 1 species